rnacentral:tRNA from 1 species
GCCCCUGUAGCUCAGCCUGGAUAGAGCGACUGCCUUCUAAGCAGUAGGUCGCAGGUUCGAAUCCUGUCGGGGGC